rnacentral:rRNA from 1 species
AACGAACGCUGGCGGCGUGCCUAACACAUGCAAGUCGAGCGAGAAAGUUCCCUUCGGGGAGCGAGUACAGCGGCGCACGGGUGAGUAACACGUAGGUAAUCUGCCCCGUAGUCCGGAACAACUAGGGGAAACUCUAGCUAAUGCCGGAUAAGACCACGGCCACCUCGGUGGCUGCGGCCAAAGGCGGCCUCUUCAUGAAAGCUGUCGCUAUGGGAUGAGCCUGCGGCCCAUUAGCUAGUUGGUAGGGUAAAGGCCUACCAAGGCGAUGAUGGGUAGCUGGUCUGAGAGGACGGACGGCCACACUGGGACUGAGACACGGCCCAGACUCCUACGGGAGGCAGCAGUGGGGAAUUUUGGGCAAUGGGCGCAAGCCUGACCCAGCAACGCCGCGUGGAGGAAGAAGGUUUUCGGAUCGUAAACUCCUGUCUAGAGGGACGAAGCAAGUGACGGUACCUCUGGAGGAAGCCCCGGCUAACUCCGUG